GCCCUCGUAGCUCAGGGGAUAGAGCACCGGCCUCCGGAGCCGGUUGCGUAGGUUCGAAUCCUACCGAGGGCG
rnacentral:tRNA from 1 species